rnacentral:lncRNA from 1 species
UUUAGAAUUGUUGCUUUCUAUAAAAAAUUCUGCUAGUAUAUCUGUUGAGUUAGAACUAUAGAUGAAUUUGAAGAAAAUUUACAUCCUCACAAUAUUUUGUCUUUAGGCCACAAACAUGAUAUAGCUGUAUAUUUAUUUUGGUCUUGCUUUUUUUUCCACUUUCAGCAUACAGAUCCCAUUUAAAAAUCAGUUAUUACCCACUCCCACCACUUCUAUUCAACAUAGUACUGGAAGUACUAUCAAGAGAGAGCAAUUAGACAAGAAAAAGAAAUUAAAGAUAUCUAAAUUGGAAAGGAAGAAGUAAAAUGAUCUCUCUUUGCACAUAAUGAAUUUUUGACAAGAGCACCAAAAAGACAAAAUGAGAAAAGGGUAGUCUCUUCAAUAAAUAGGUGCUGGAAUUUCCACAUGCAAAAGAAUGAAAUUAGACUCUUACAUUACACCAUACACAAAAAUCAAUCCAAAAUGGAUAAAAGAUCUGCUCAUACAUGUUAGGAUAGCUAUUAUCAAAAAGACAAGAGCUAACAAGUGUUGGUGAGGGUGUGGAGAAGAGGGAGCACUUGUACACUGUUAGUGGGAAUGUGCUUAUGAGUAUAGACACAAAAAUCCUCAGCAAAGUAUUAACAAACCGAAUUCAACAACAUAUAAAAAUUUUGUACAUUGAUUUUAUAUACUUAAACUUGGCUAAAGUCGUUUGUCAGGUAUAUGAGU